AUGCAGUCGAACGCCCCUCACGGGGAGUGGCAGACGGGUGAGUAACGCGUGGGAACAUACCCUUUCCUGCGGAAUAGCUCCGGGAAACUGGAAUUAAUACCGCAUACGCCCUACGGGGGAAAGAUUUAUCGGGGAAGGAUUGGCCCGCGUUGGAUUAGCUAGUUGGUGGGGUAAAGGCCUACCAAGGCGACGAUCCAUAGCUGGUCUGAGAGGAUGAUCAGCCACAUUGGGACUGAGACACGGCCCAAACUCCUACGGGAGGCAGCAGUGGGGAAUAUUGGACAAUGGGCGCAAGCCUGAUCCAGCCAUGCCGCGUGAGUGAUGAAGGCCUUAGGGUUGUAAAGCUCUUUCACCGAUGAAGAUAAUGACGGUAGUCGGAGAAGAAGCCCCGGCUAACUUCGUGCCAGCAGCCGCGGUAAUACGAAGGGGGCUAGCGUUGUUCGGAAUUACUGGGCGUAAAGCGCACGUAGGCGGAUAUUUAAGUCAGGGGUGAAAUCCCUCAUCUCAACUGCAGCACUGCCUUUGAUACUGGGUAUC
rnacentral:rRNA from 1 species